rfam:Myotis davidii contig228459, whole genome shotgun sequence.
AGCAGUUCUCAGGUGGCGCACCCCCAAAUCGGGCUCCCUCCUCUCUGGUUCCGGAUGCAUCACCCUAGAACCGCA